rnacentral:rRNA from 1 species
CUGAUCGCCAUGCCGCGUGUGUGAAGAAGGCUUAUGAGUUGUAAAGCACUUUAAGCGAGGAGAGGGCUUUCUUAAUACCUAGAGAUAGUGGACGUUACUGAGAAACCACCGGCUAACUCUGUGCCAGCAGCCGCGGUAAUACAGAGGGUGCAAGCGUUAAUCGGAUUUACUGGGCGCAAAGAUAAAGAGAGGCGGCUAAUUAAGUCAAAUGUGAAAUCCCCGAGCUUAACUUGGGAAUUGCAUUCGAUACUGGUUAGCUAGAGUGUGGAGAGGAUGGUAGAAUUCCAGGUGUAGCGGUGAAAUGCGUAGAGAUCUGGAGGAAUACC